rnacentral:ncRNA from 1 species
UAAAAAACCUUGACGGAGAAGAGUAGGCAAAAAUAUGCUUUAAGAGAAUGGGGAUUUGGUGAGAACCCAGAAGCUAAAGUUGCUGAAAAUCACUCCUGAGUUGCAUGCUGAAAUUUGUAUAAAGUAAGCUAUGCCGGCACAGCCGUUAGACGUAUGAGUAAUAAUUUGGGUGGUACCGCGGUAGACUUUCGCUCCAUAA